rnacentral:lncRNA from 1 species
ACAUAAACAAAGCAGGGUGCUUUCCCUUCCCAAGGGCUGAGCUUUCUCUCUUCCUUCUUCUGGCAGAGGCUUUCUAACUAUUCACAGGCUCUCUCCUUCCACAUCUCUCCCUCUCUGUGACACAGAAGAGAACCAAUGAGGAUGGCACGGCAGAGCCUAGGGCAACCCUAAGUAUCCUUCUAGCUGUUACAUGUCCCAGGCUUGCCCUUUACAUCUGGGGCCACAUUGUAUACAGAUGACUACAUGCUGCACUGCAUUGAUUUACUCAAUGUACUGCUCUUUUAGAUGGCCUCCUGAAUUUCAAACAAGGGAAGAACAGCAAGAUGGAAGAAUUCUCCAGUUUCUGUACUCUGCAGGAUUUCUGAAGUUCUACCUUAAAGUUCUACCUGGCUUUUGGGAACCUGUUCUCCAUGCUGGAUUACUUUCACCAACCUUGAUGCAGGGAGAGGAGCUUGGUCCUGCCUUUAACUUGAUAUGCCAUGCUUUGUUCAAGCCCAAUCGGACGCCUGCUUCUUUCUGAAUAGAGACUGAGAAGUGGAUGGGAGACAGAUAUGAAAAGUCCACAACUGACAUAGAAGUGCCUCAUUUUAAAACAUACAGCUGAAUUUCUAAGGACUUAGCCCACAACAUAGAAUUACAGGAAUGUUUGCUGAUGCUUCUACUGAUAUGAAUACAUCAUCAUAUGAUUGACCAGCCCCAGUGUAGGCAUUCCUUGCCAUCAUUAUGGAAGCUUUAUGACAUGAG